rnacentral:rRNA from 1 species
GAUGAACGCUGGCGGCGUGCCUAAUACAUGCAAGUCGAGCGGACGGACGAGACGCUUGCUUCUCUGAUGUUAGCGGCGGACGGGUGAGAAACACGUGGAUAACCUACCUAUAAGACUGAGAUAACUUCGGGAAACCGGCGCUAAUACCGGAUAAUCUUUUGAACCGCAUGGUUCGAAAGUGAAAGACGGUCUUGCUGUCACUUCUAGAUGGAUCCGCGCUGCAUUAGCUAGUUGGUAAGGUAACGGCUUACCAAGGCUACGAUGCAUAGCCGACGUGAGAGAGUGAUCGGCCACCCUGGAAGGUGGACGCGGACCAGACGCCUACGGGAGGCAGCAGUAUCGAAUCGGCCGCAAUGGGCGAAAGCCUGACGGAGCAACGGCGCGUGAGUGAUGAAGGUCCUCCGAUCGUAAAACUCUGUUAUGAGUGAAGAACAGAUGUGUAAGUAACUGUGCACAUCGUGACGGUACCGAAUCAGAAAGCCACGGCUAACUACGUG